CUACGGGACGCUGCAGUGGGGAAUAUUGGACAAUGGGGGAAACCCUGAUGCAGCAACGCCGCGUGGAGGAUGACGCAUUUCGGUGUGUAAACUCCUUUUAUAUGUCAAGAAAAUGACGGUAGCAUAUGAAUAAGCACCGGCUAACUCCGUGCCAGCAGCCGCGGUAAUACGGAGGGUGCAAGCGUUACUCGGAAUCACUGGGCGUAAAGGGCGCGUAGGCGGGUUGGAAAGUCAGGUGUGAAAUCCUACAGCUUAACUGUAGAACUGCACUUGAAACUUCUAAUCUAGAGUAUGGGAGGGGGAGAUGGAAUUAGUGGUGUAGGGGUAAAAUCCGUAGAUAUCACUAGGAAUACCUAAAGCGAAGGCGAUCUCCUGGAACAUUACUGACGCUAAGGCGUGAAAGCGUGGGGAGCAAACAGGAUUAGAUACCCCCGUAGUC
rnacentral:rRNA from 1 species